UUCGUCUUUAUUUUCCAAGAAUGCGGUCUUCUUCUUGGUUUGAACUUUGAAUUUCUGAAAUUGUUGUUCUUCGGUCUUCUUCUUCAGUCUUCUUCUUCGGUCUUCUUCUUCAAUUUUUGUUCCAUGUUGCUUGUAAUGUUUUGUAAAUUGUAAUUACCCGUUGCUGAUGGAUCUGUCUUGUAUGAUGGCUGGUUGGUAAUGGCUGUAAGAUUUUUGUUCAAAUUUGCUGAUGAAUCUGUCUUGUAUCUUGAUUUUAAUUGUUAACCACAAUUUUGCUGAUGGAUUGAUGGCUCUGUUAGUCACUUAUUCUCUUAUUCUAUUUUAGUGUUUUCUAAAUGGCUCUGAUAGUGUUUGGUUGUUUUAUUAGUUGCUGAUGGUUCCUAAUUUUUUUGUUUAAGUUUGCUGUUCUACUGUUUUACACUUUUACUAGUUGCUGGUUGCUGAUGGCUUUGUUUGUUGCUGAAUGUUGUAGAGUGCAGACAGAAUUUACUCAAUUUAGAUAUGGUGUCUUAUUGAUGAUUUUUUUAUUUCUCGUUGUGCUGCUGUUGUUUUAAUUUCGUAUAUAUUUUAUUAAUUUCAGUUAUGAAAUAUUAAUCAAGAAGCAAUUGCUGAUAACAAUGCAUCUGCAAAUAAUAACUUGCUUGUCAAUCUUCCUAUUUCAAAUGAUGUUGGGAUUUAAUAUUUAGAUAUGUUUUUUUACUAUUUAACUUUUGAGUUUGUAUUUUGAUAAGAUCAUAUAGAUUUGGUUGAUGAUAUUUUAUAUAGUGUUUUGAAUUUCGAAGAUAUUUUAAGAUUUAUAUUAGAUUAUAAUUAUAUUUUAGGAUGUUUUUCUAUAAUUUAUUUAUUUUAUUGUAAAAUGGUUUUUCCAGUUGAACCACUGGUUGGACCGGUUGAACCAAUGAACCAGUAAACCAGUGACUAAAGCAGUUCGAUGACCGGUCCGGUUUUUAAAACCUUGAGCGUAAAUAUCACUUUUUGGUUGUUUGUUUGCUUUUGUUAGUAGAUUUUUGUUUAUGUUUUCUUGAUGACUUUUUCACACCAUCACCAUAAUGCACCCCAAUGGAACCCAAACACUUACCUUUAUAGUCACCAAUUUUACACACCAUUACCCCACUACAUACAAAACCAAAACCCUACCCCUCAUGAGUUUGAUUGUCAACCUUCAUCAUCUCAAUCUUCAUCUUCGUAUAUGGAUCAAGCCACACAAGACGUACUUCUCAUACUCAUUCAAGGACAACAAGAGUUCCGGAAGAAGCAAGAGCUCGCCAUGUCUACCUUAGCAAAAGUUUUGGAUCAAUUAGCUUCAUCGCGUUCAUGCCGCAAGUAAGAAAUUCUAGUGGAUGAAUGUGUGGAACCGAGUGAAAAGUGUGGAGUGAAAGAAGAAGUGCAAAAUCAAGAAGAAGAUGUCAAGUCAUAAGAUGCAGUGAAAAAGGAUACAAAUGAAGAGUUGAUAGGAAUUGAUCAAGAGGAUUCCAUCAUUCAAGAUUUUUUGCCCGACUUGGGUUAUUCCUACAAUGACCUUCAUGAGUCUUCAUUAGUGGAUUUGGAAGGAGAUGUUGAUGUGGACUUCACACAACCUCCAAUUUUUUACUCAAGUGACGAUGAAGAAGAUUCAAGAGAGGUUGAGAAAGAUUUUUGUGACCGAGAGGUAGAAAUAUUUGUGCAAGAUAGAAUUGAGUGAGUGAAGAGUUCUCCAACAAGCUUCCUAGCCCGACAUCAAAAUGCCAUUUUGGAAACGGAUGCUCAACUUCGAACCUUUCUUGGAGCAGUGGGUGGUGAAGAGAAGAAUGUUAAUUGGCAACAGAAUGGAAAGUUCAUCCAAGGAGCCAAUCCAACAUUUGGAGCUCGAUUUUGGUGCAAGAGUCAAUUAAGUGGAUUUCGGGGAGUGCACGACCAUGUCAAUGGUGAUAGAGGAACUCAAGUAUGGGAUCCGGGCAUUGGUUUCAUGAAUCAACAAUUAAGGAUCCUAGUUGCUAGCUUAAAUUCUCUCAUGAGUUUGAUGAAAAUCAUUUGGGACCCUGGAGGCCAAUUCAAUAGCAAACUUGGUUGGAGAUUCAAGGAGGAGUGGAAGCAUAAGCCGCCCUAACAAGGAUCUCCUCGCCAAGUCCAACAUAGGACUAUAAACCAAAGUGCUAGGUGGGAGACACCCCACCAUGGAUGGCCCGCAAGGGGAAGAAAAAAGCCAAUCCUUUGGCUCGUCCUCCUCCCGUGCCCCCAAGUGACCAACCUGACACAUUUAUCAAUGCUGAAGUCCAAGAACAAUAUAAGAAAAUAGAAAGCAAAGCCUUUCACUAUGAGCGAAAGCUUAACUUGCCUAAGAAAUAUGCGGCCCAAAUUUUAGACAAUUAAUUUUUAUCAUUGGGAGUUCGUAAAAUUCGAUCCGGUGGAAGCUAAUGAACACCAGGUCAAAGAAUUUUACGCGAAUCUCCUAAAGAGGGAUGCCCCAACUGUUUUUCUCAGAGGUGUCACUCUAGACACCUCUAAUACUGCUUUAGAGGCCCUCUUAGAUAUUCUGCAUAUUCCUCCGGCUCGUGAUUCCUACACUCAGAUAGUGAAAGAUUUGUUAUCGGGCAAGCUUUCAUUGGAUGUUGUCCUAAAGAAGAUUGGCACACCCAAAGCCAAAUGGGAGUACAGCAGGGGAGAAAACACGGUCCUGCAGAGCAUCGCGUGCACGGAUCUCAACCCGGAAGCGAGGAUCUGGUAGCAGAUCAUCGCCAACUACAUUUCCACUCCUGUAAACACAUUUUCACUCUCAUUUUCUGGUACUUUUUUUUAAGUCUACCUUUUGCUAUGAUUGAUGUCAUAACCUGUAUUGUUUAAUUUUCUUUGAAGUGGUAUCUUCCUUACUAGCAAUAGUUGUGAAGAAUAAUUUUUCUUAUUAGGUCUUGAUCAACACAAUGUAGCAAAUACUAUCUAAAUUUUUCCUAAUAUGCUAUUAGCUCUACCGUGUAAUUUCAGAAGAAGGUGGUUUAAGAAAAUGGUUGGUUCUGCUUUUCUAGUACUUGCUACAAAUUCCUAUUAUUAGGGGUAAAAGAAAUAUGAAUUUUCUGCAGACAUUGGUUAUUUAUUCGGGGAUACAAGUGAGCAUUGCAGGUUUUCCUUGUCAUCUAUUCAUUCUUGUUUACUCUUUAGUUUUACCACACUUCUGCUUUUAAAAUUUCACAUCUAUGAACCUACUUAAAUACUAAUGAAUUUCAUAUUUUUAAAAUUCUAGCACAUUUAAAGACACCCGAACAAGAGGUGCUCUUGUAUUUAUUCUUGGGUUCUGGAUGCUGGAUCUUGCCAAUAAUACUUUGCACAGGUAAGAUGGUUCCCUUUCCUGACAAAUAGAGCUUGCUGUGAAGCCUGUGCAAUCUUAAGGCCGUAUUUCUUGUUGCUAUGGUGGGUUACUAUCUGAUAUCAUUUUAUAUAUUGUCAGAUCAUAUAAAAAUAUGUAAAUUUGAUUUAUCUAAGUUGUUUAUUUCAUACCAAUUUAAUUUAUGUAAUUUGUUUAAAUUUCUGUUAAUUCUAUAUUAAUUGCUAAUUUCUUUAAAGUUAAAUAAUUUUUAGUUUUAUUGAUGUAAUUUUUUCAAUCAAUAAUAGUAGUUUAUAGCUUUUAAAUAGGUUUAGUUUCAAUUUUAAAUUGUUUGCAACAGUUCAGUUUGAAGCAAAUUUUUUUUUGAAAAUUUAAUUUUUGUGAGGGUUUUAAACCGCUACAAAAAUUUCAAAAAACUGCCAAAAUAAUCAACUCAAAACUCCCCACAAAGUAGACAAAGAACUGCCACUAAAUUAUGUUCGGGGGGUUUUGCAAAACCGCCACAGAUAAGCUUGUGACACCUCAAAUUUUGGAAGUUUGGGAAAUUUCCACUAACCUGUUUUUUUGGGGGGGGGGGGGGGGUGUUUCAAACCCCCACAAAUCAGAAAAAACCUCCACAAAUCAACUCAAAAGUAGACAUGUCUUGCAUGAAGAGGCAGAGAGAGUAGACUUGAGCCAAAAAUGACUUGCCGUUGUAGAAUUAGCAAGAUUCCCUUCUUAUUCGGUAAUUGGCAAGCCGGCGAGGAAUCUGGGCUCACUUUUGCUCUCUUUCCGCUCAUACAAGACUUUAGAGAGCUUGAAAUGUGGUACCACCUUAAUUGUGGUCUUUGCAGUUUAAAUUGAUGAAUACUAGCAAUAUAUGUACAAAUUUAAGGAAAGUUACAGUAUGCUAGUUCGGAAUAGAAAA